UAUCCCUCGUCGCGAACGCAUCCACCCCCUCGUCUCUUAUCCAUCCGCCCCACCACUCUCUCUCCCUCUCCCUCUUCCUCCCCCACCACUCAUGGCGUCGUUGCCGGCGGCGAGGCCAGGCAGCAGGCGGCCGUGGAUCUGGGAACAAGGGCGCUGCGCCCUGCCGUAGCUGCCCUGCGUCGCGGCACACAUGGAGGUUCUCCGCCCGUAUCGGCCGCGCUAGCAGGAACACCAGGGGCCGGCCGGCCACGCAUAGAUGGGCACCCCGCGUCGCGGCUGCCCCCGUGGCGCUGCCCAUGGUGUUGCUCCGUCCGCCCGCAUCGGCCCCGCAAGCAGGAGCAUCAGGGGCCACCCCGGCCCCGCGUCGUGGCUGCCCCCGUCGCCUCGAGCCUUAAGGACGGCGGCCCAUGUUGGAGGGGAGCCAGCGGCUAUGGAGGACGUCGAGCGGUGGUGGAAGCCGCUCCAGCUUCCGCGUCGCGGCCUCCCAUCCUAUCCUGUGCUGGCAGGUCGCAGGCAGGGCUGAGCUCCCUCGAGGAGAUGCGCCGUUGACAAGAACCGCCACCACGCCGGCGAGAGGGGUCUCGCCCUCCACUGGAUCCCGCUGCUGGGAGGAGUCGCGGUAGAGGUGCUGCUCCUAGGGGGAGCGACGGCCUGCCUCCCAUGAAUUUGCCAGAGAGGUAGGCGGAGGCACCGUCCUUAUCUACGGCAGGCAGGGGCGCCACAAUGGCUCCGGCCACAAGCCGGAGGUGAGGGCUUGCGCAACCUCUGAAUUCUGUGCAUUUUCUUUGUCUUCAAGGCUGACUUUUUGCCCUGCUGAUCGAGUUAUUGGUUAAUUAAGUAACAGUAUACAUUUCAUGUUUCAUUGAUUUUGCUAGCCUCCUCACUGAAUGAUGCACGGAUAUAUAUAUGAUGCAAAUGUGUGAGAUUCUACAUGGCAAUUUUAGUGUGGACGAUGGCAAUUUAGAUAGUUGAAAUUUCAGUAUGCAGUCAAGAUAGUUCAUUUUCACAUGGCCAUUUUUUAUGUUCACUUUGUGUGCAAGCUGUGGAAGAUGAAUCCCUUCAUGGUUUUUAUGUAUCAUGGCAAUUUAAGUUCACGGAAGAGCAGCUUUUUUCAGUCUUAGAGUAGUGAGGGCAUAUAUCUUUGAAGAUCAUCUCACAUGCAGUGCCUUGACAAGCACACAGAACAUCAUGGUAGUUACACCAUGGCAGCUUUCUUACUUAGAUGGCAUUUUCUUUAUGGACGGGGUUGGCAAAUAUUGGAGGGGUGAGGUGGUAGUUUUAGUGUGGGCAACACGACAUUUUCUGGACAUGGCAAUUUUUGUUUUGGUUCAUAAGCAAAUUCAUGUUUGUUUUAGUGUCACCACUACUACUUUUGCCAUGCCACCUUAUUUUACCAUGGAAAAUUUGCUAAGCUUUUUGCCAUUGCAAAAAAGUUUAGCACUGUUUGUGCAAUGCCAAUUUGUUUUUCAGUUAUUUGCCAUGUCUCUAUUAUAGCUUUUGCCAUGUCGGCACUAUAACUUUUUUGCCAUGCCAUAAACACAUUAUAUGGCAACUUUAGUUUACUAUCCAAAACUGGAUGAAAAUUCAUUUUUUGUUUGUUUUUUCAUCAAAUUUUACUUUAUAUCCAUGGCAAUUUUGCCUUUGAUUUUGUUAUGGCAAUUCUACCUUUUGUUUUCAUGGCAAAUUUACCUAAAUCCCCAUGGCAAUAUUUUAAAUUUUAUUGUCAUGGCAAGUUUUUACUAUUUAUUUGCCAUGCCAAAAUUCAACAUUUAAAUUUUAUUGCCAAGGCAAGUUUUACUAUUUAUUUGCCAUGGAAAAUUUACUUUUAUUAACAUGGCAAAUUUGCCUAAAUCCCUAUGGAAACAUUUAAAUUUUAUUGUCAUGGUAAGUUUUACUAUUUAGUUGUCAUGGAAAAUUUACCUUUAUUAACAUGGCAAAUUUAAUUAAAUCCCAAUGGCAAUAUUUAAAUUUUAUUGCCAUGGCAAGUUCUACAAUUUAUUUGCCAUGGCAAAUUUAACUUUAUUAACAUAGAAAAUUUACCUAAAUCCCCAUGGCACUAUUUAACUUUUAUUGCCAUGGCAAGUUUUACUAUUUAUUUGCCAUGGCAAAUUUACCUAAAUUCCCAUGCCAAUAUUUAAGUUUUAUUGCCAUGGCAAGAUUUACUAUUUAUUUCUCAUGGUAAAUUUACCUUUAUUAACAUGGCAAAUGUAUCUAAAUCAUUACGGUAAUAUAUGUAAAUUUAGUUAAAAACACCAUGAAUUUUUUUGUUAUGAAUCUGCCAUGGCAAAUUAUUUUUGUUUGUGUGAUGAAAAUUGCCAUUUCUUACUUUAAUCUUUGGGGUUAUUGUUAAAAUAUUUGUGUUUUACCCAUGGAAAAUUUCUGCGUUUGAAAGUUGAUGCAUAUUUUUAAUUAACAAAGCAAAAAAGUGGGAAUUUUUUUUCACAGGAAAAAAAUCUGGGCCUUUUCUUCAUUUUUUACUACUGGGGUUUUUGUUUUCAAUUCUGGGCUGUUAGGGGCUGGGGAGGCGUUCGCAUUGGAGGACUUCUCCUCCCGAACGAAAUCGUUCGUGGGGGGCGGGGUAUCGUACCGAACGGCACGUUCGGUCUGGGAUGUCCCCAGACCGAACGGUCGGGAGUUAUCGAGGUCCAAAGAAAAAGGCAAGUAGGCAAUUAGUAAUUUUUACGAAACGAAAUUAGCUCAAGUUGAUUAGCCCCACAUUGAUGUACGCACGCAAUUAUGGUGUAACUCUUGAGAUGUGAGAUUGCAUCCCUAAUCCAUUCAUCCACUACCCUAUUCUCUGUUCCCCCGACCCAACCUCAGAUCACAAGUCGCAGGCCGCGAGUAGCUGGACGCGGCCAUGCAUUACUCACACGCACAUCGCCAGGCCAUGGCAAUUGGCAGCGCCGAGUGUGUCUGUUAUCCACUUUCCAGGCGUUGGGAGUAUUAUCGCCGAGUGCCUCCCGCCUGACGUCCACACCGUUGCUGAGCGCCUACUCACGGACGCCAAUGCAAUUAGUCUGAGGUGACACAUGCUGACUUGAAAACGCUAACGAGAAGGUCAUGUUCAAGAAAGAUGGCAUACUACAGGGGCCUUUAAUGUGAGACUGUUUAGACCUCACACUCGUGACCGCACUUUAGUGUAACUAGCACAUAUGUCCGUGCGUUGCAAUGGGAGAUAAAAUUGUAUGUAUUUAAAGUCACUGAAAAUUAUAUGUACAAGCAAAACCUGAUGUGCACACGAAAAAAGAACAUCGUGUGAAGGAAUCAAUCCGAUAUUUUUA